rnacentral:rRNA from 1 species
UACAGAGGGUGCAAGCGUUAAUCGGAAUUACUGGGCGUAAAGCGUGCGUAGACGGUAGCGUAAGUCGGGUGUGAAAGCCCCGGGCUCAACCUGGGAAUUGCAUUCGAGACUGCUCUGCUAGGGUGCGGAAGAGGGAAGCGGAAUUUCCGGUGUAGCGGUGAAAUGCGCAGAUAUCGGGAAGAACACCCGUGGCGAAGGCGGCUCUCUGGGACGGUACUGACGCUGAGACGCGAAAGCGUGGGGAGCGAACAGG